rnacentral:rRNA from 1 species
CACGUAGGCACCAAGCGUUGUCCGGAUUUAUUGGGCGUAAAGAGCUCGUAGGCGGCCUGUCGCGUCUGCUGUGAAAGCCCGGGGCUCAACCCCGGGUCUGCAGUGGAUACGGGCAGGCUAGAGUCCGGCAGGGGAGACUGGAAUUCCUGGUGUAGCGGUGAAAUGCGCAGAUAUCAGGAGGAACACCGGUGGCGAAGGCGGGUCUCUGGGCCGGUACUGACGCUGAGGAGCGAAAGCGUGGGGAGCAAACAGG